GAUGAACGCUGGCGGCGUGCCUAAUACAUGCCAGUCGAGCGAACAGACGAGGAGCUUGCUCCUCUGACGUUAGCGGCGGACGGGUGAGUAACACGUGAUAACCUACCUAUAAGACUGGGAUAACUUCGGGAAACCGGAGCUAAUACCGGAUAAUAUAUUGAACCGCAUGGUUCAAUAGUGAAAGACGGUUUUGCUGUCACUUAUAGAUGGAUCCGCGCCGCAUUAGCUAGUUGGUAAGGUAACGGCUUACCAAGGCAACGAUGCGUAGCCGACCUGAGAGGGUGAUCGGCCACACUGGAACUGAGACACGGUCCAGACUCCUACGGGAGGCAGCAGUAGGGAAUCUUCCGCAAUGGGCGAAAGCCUGACGGAGCAACGCCGCGUGAGUGAUGAAGGUCUUCGGAUCGUAAAACUCUGUUAUUAGGGAAGAACAAAUGUGUAAGUAACUAUGCACGUCUUGACGGUACCUAAUCAGAAAGCCACGGCUAACUACGUG
rnacentral:rRNA from 1 species